rnacentral:tRNA from 1 species
UGCCCGCGUACGAGAUGGCCGUCGGCGCCGUCCGCGCCGGUGGCGUGAUCAGCCGGGUGGGCGUGCCGCAGUACGAGGCCGCCCCGGUCGGC